UACGUAGGGGGCGAGCGUUGUCCGGAAUUAUUGGGCGUAAAGAGCGUGUAGGCGGUCCGGUAAGUCGGCUGUGAAAGUCCAGGGCUCAACCCUGGGAUGCCGGUCGAUACUGCCGGACUAGAGUUCGGAAGAGGCGAGUGGAAUUCCCGGUGUAGUGGUGGAAUGCGUAGAGAUCGGGAGGAACACCAGUGGCGAAGGCGGCGACCUGGGCCUGGGCUGACGCUGAGGCGCGAAAGCGUGGGGAGCGAUCCGG
rnacentral:rRNA from 1 species